GACAGAGGGUGCAAACGUUGCUCGGAAUUAUUGGGCGUAAAGGGCGCGUAGGCGGCUUGGCAAGUGGAAGGUGAAAGUCCCUCGGCUUAACCGAGGAACUGCCCUCCAAACUGCUUUGCUUGAGGCCGGGAGAGGUGAGUGGAAUUCCCAGUGUAGCGGUGAAAUGCGUAGAUAUUGGGAAGAACACCAGUGGCGAAGGCGGCUAACUGGUCCAGAUCUGACGCUGAGGUGCGAAAGCGUGGGGAGCAAACAGG
rnacentral:rRNA from 1 species